rnacentral:rRNA from 1 species
GAUCAUGGCUCAGGACGAACGCUGGCGGCGUGCCUAACACAUGCAAGUCGAGCGAGAAUUUUUUUGAAGGAUUCCUUCGGGGAGAAUUCGAAAGAGGAGAGCGGCGGACGGGUGAGUAACGCGUGAGUAACCUGCCUUCAGGAGGGGGACAGCAUCUCGAAAGGGAUGCUAAUACCGCAUGAUAUUGAGGAUCCGCAUGGGUUCUUGAUCAAAGAUUUAUCGCCUGAAGAUGG